UAAGGAAUAUUGGUCAAUGGACGAAAGUCUGAACCAGCCAUGCCGCGUGAAGGAUGAAGGUCCUCUGGAUUGUAAACUUCUUUUAUUUGGGACGAAACGCCUGUUUUCUAACGGGUCUGACGGUACCAGAUGAAUAAGCACCGGCUAACUCCGUGCCAGCAGCCGCGGUAAUACGGAGGGUGCAAGCGUUAUCCGGAUUCACUGGGUUUAAAGGGUGCGUAGGCGGGUGUGAAAGUCAGUGGUGAAAUCUCAGAGCUUAACUCUGAAACUGCCAUUGAUACUUUGCAUCUUGAAUUUUCUGGAGGUUAGCGGAAUAUGUCAUGUAGCGGUGAAAUGCUUAGAUAUGACAUAGAACACCGAUUGCGAAGGCAGCUGACUACGGAUGAAUUGACGCUGAGGCACGAAAGCGUGGGGAUCAAACA
rnacentral:rRNA from 1 species